rnacentral:misc_RNA from 1 species
AGAUUUUCGAGAACCUUGAAUGCAGCAAGAGUGACUCUAGAAACAUUCACGCACCGAACAAUCAGCACGACGGUUAAUGGCGGAACCGAGAGGAGGAAUCUGCUCCACUGCAAGAAACUCCGCAAAUCAAGAAUCUCAAAACUUGGGGACCACAACAGUGUACCAAAUCCCAAGGAACUGCAUGCUUGAAGACUUGUAUUGUGAAAGCAUGGAGCCACUGUUUUAUUUUUGAAAAAAAAAAUCAUGACAAAGGUUGAGAGAUUUUAAAAAUAUUGAAUACUAGAGGAUGGUUUAAAUGUUAUAAUGAUGAGAUGCAGGUGUACAUGUUAAUGGCAGAUACCGGUACUUAAUUAUCAUCUACAAUGAAACAAAAAGAAACUAUGUAGACAGUAUAAACACUGGUGUCCAAAGCCAUUGUACCAUGCAUCCCUUCAGAGAGUAAAAGAACAAACAACCUUUUAAACACAACAUGAUAAUUCUACAAGACUUGGCGAUCAUGCAAGUUAAUAUGUUUUAACUAAAGCAGAACUCUUGAUUUUAGUUUCACAGCUAGUUUACGUUGGUUGUUCCUACGUUUUUAAAGUAAAUACAGAAAACGGUGACCAGAAAAUUUAACAAGUUUGGUGAUCACAGAUGAAAUUCUGAUGAUACAUUAACUCUUAAAAGCUUUGUACUUUUGCUAAAUAUGUGCUAUUGAUCUUGUAAGGAGCUAAUGGACUCCCAUUUCCAUUAAUAAACUUUAUAUGACCAUGUACAUUUUUUCAUGUUCUUGUAUUAAAUGUGAUAAUAAUCUUGAGAUUUUCACCGAUAUUAGUUAAAUUGAAAACAUUUCAGAUGAAAGAAGUGAUGUGGUAGAUAUGAAUUGUUUUGUUCAAGUUAUAUUAUUUUUUUUUUAGAUGGAAUGAAGUGCUUAGAACACAGUUAGUAGCUAUAUUAACAAAAGUAAUGAAUUUUGAGUUGUAUUUUUUUUUUUUUAGACAAACUGAGUUUUAUUUCAGGGUAUGUUUUAAAAGCUGUAUGUGUUGCUGUGAAUAUUGUUUUAAAACUGUCUCGUUAAUAGAAGAAAAAUACAGGGACAUUCUCUACUGUAUGUGAUUUUUGACCACCAGCAUUGACUACUGUGUGUUUUAUUUUUUUCUUGAUUGAUAUACAUUAAUAAUUGUAAACCAAAUUGAUAUUUGUGCAUUCCAUUGGAUUUGCAUUGAGAUAAUACAAACUAUUAUUAACACUCUAAAUUUUAAAGCUGAUUAUGAUCAACAUGUGCUAGUGCUGGCACAGUUGAAGGCCUUAGUGUUACAAUGACUUGAAUAGAACUUUGUCAUUUUGCAGUUCUAUCAAAAACUGGAAAAGCAAUCAUGUGAAGCCAGCUAUGGAAGUUAUAAUAAAAUCAUAAAAUAUCC